GGUGCCAUAGCUCAGUUGGUAGAGCAAAGGACUGAAAAUCCUUGUGUCCCCGGUUCGAUUCCCGGUGGCACCA
rnacentral:tRNA from 1 species